UUUUUGUCCUUUGUUUGUUGUGCAGAAUUGCAAACCUAGAAAGAAAUCAAGUUGAAAGAAUUUAUAUAAAUUAAUUUGCCCUUCUUUUGACCCUUCUACAUCAUGAAUAUUUGGUGGCUGUUGCUUGGCGACUGUGAGAUCUCUCCAUAGGAUUGACAUGGGCUGGGCCUCUCAAUGACCUUGAUAUGAUUGUUCUUCAGCCAUUCCUUGGUUGCCUUGGCUGUAGGUUCUAGGUCACUAACCUGUUGGAAGACCCAUCCAUGACUGAUUUGAAGGGUCCUGGCUUAAGGAGGGUAGGAAGUUCUCACUCAGGAUUUUCCAUUAAUGGCUCCAUCAACGUGGUGACGUAGCUCUGUGCAGAAAAAUAGCCACAAAGCAUAAUGCUUCCACCUCCAUGUUUGACAGUGGGGAAGCUGUUCUUGGGGUCAUAGGUAGCAAUUCUCUUCCUCCAAACCCAAUGGUUGAGUUGAUGCCAAAGAGCUCAGUUUUGAGCCAAACAUUCCAUUAUGCAGAAUAAACUCAUAAAGCAAACCCUAUUUUUCAGUGUGUGAUUUUCAUUUUUUCAUAAAUCUUAGGACAAUUUAGAUGAUAAAAGUAAUAAAUAUAUGAAAACAGUAUAAUACAGUAAAUAUGUAAAUAUUUGAUGUGAUGAACAAUGCUUAUCUGAUUUAGACCCAACAUGGAAUAUUUUAUGACAGACACACAUCAAGUUGUGUUAUUUAAUGCUAGUAAUUUAGACACAAAUGAUAGAAAUGUUAGGUUUAUAUGUCAAAGAGGCCAUGUGAAAAUUUUAGUGCAAAUACGCAUGCGUGCGCGCCGUGCACAUUAAGCCACCCCACCCCCACGUAUCCGCGCGCCGGUCGGGGGGUGUUGGGCGUCAAUAAAGGUAAUCUGGUUGUCGCGCGUUCUGCAUCUCUGCACGAGCUAAAGAAGUCUCAAAGAUGAAUGCCGCUGUUGUUAUCACUGUGACGGAAGAGCGGUGCUGAAAAAUACGGCCUCCAUCGAGAGACUGAACGUAACACGACUGCAGCUGACUCUGCCACGAGGCUCGACAACUUCUUGCAUCAACUGUGAUCGCUGUGGCCGCCAAAACAUCCAAAUGUAAGGCGGGCUACAAAGAUUUCAGGCCAAAAGAGAACGCCUCACAUGUGAUGAAGUGUCUGUAUUGGUUGGAAAAACCAGCAGCCCUCCAGUGCUUCAGCCGUCCAACCAUCAACCGUUUCAGACAUCCAUCCUCUCGCCACUUCAGCCCCACAGCCGUCCACCAGUGUCCCAACUCCUGACAUUUUACUAUCCUGGUACAAUCUUAUUUUUCUGCACAGUUAGCAAAAAUGAUAUGUUUUUUAAGAAAUUCCUGUGUUUUUUUAUCAUCAACAAAUGUUUCUCCAAAGAAAUGUGAAACUACAGAAUUAUUCAUCUGGUGGUUAUUUUUACACUUUUCCUCAAAUCUUUAAUAAGAAAGAAAUAAUUCAGUUCAAGUUUACUUUAGCUUUUCUUUUUAAUGGGCAUUACAGUUGAUAUAAAACAUAUAACAUGCAAUUAAAAUGCUUUGUAGUUAAAAACAUUUUACACACUAUUAAAAGAUUCUAUAAAAUAUUAUUUAAA